GUGGGGAUAGCUCAGUGGUAGAGCAUAUGCUUAGCAUGCAUGAGGUCCUGAGUUCAAUCCCCAGUACCUCCA
rnacentral:tRNA from 1 species